ACAUAAAACUUGUGGAUCACUGAAUAUGAUGUGUUUGAUUCCUUGCAAAUCGUUUUGCGAUAUAGAGAUGUGUUGGUGCAACAAACCCUAGGCGUGUGUUGCCCGGACUGUACACAGGCUCAAGAGCAAGGUUGCAGCGUCUAAGACAAGGCCAAGCAGAAGAGAUAGCUCUUUGAGAAAUGAAAGGGCGUAUCAAGAAGACCAAGACCAACCAAAUGAGCAAGAUAUCAUUAAGGAAAAACCUCCCUUGCCGGGCAGGCGAGCCUGACAAGGUCGAGGUCACCCAGAAGACAAGUCUCAAGACUACCCCGACAAGCUUGCCGGGGGCUCCAGUUGCUGGUCGCCCCGCCAAGGCUCCACCGCUCCACCUCACAGCAACGCAAGUCACAUAUCGAUGCGGUGUCAAGCCCCCAGAUGUCACGCAGGCAAGCAAGAAGGUGGCUGAAUGGCACGUCAAGUCUUGCCGGGCGACAUCCACGAUGUGACAAUAAACGGUGCAUUUAAUGCGCCUUGUCUUGUCUGCAGAGUAAGGAAUGAUAGCACUGUUUGCUAUCUAAUCAGUAUGUAAUGAUUGAUUUGCCAUUGUGGUGACCCCUUGACCUAUAAAAGGAGGGCCGUGGCAACCUUAGAAACGAUUCGGACCUUUAUACACUCAUAUGCGCGUAGGUGCUCUUGUCCUGAGGCGACCUUGCCGGGCUAGAGCGUUGCGUCUCCUCCACGGUCCUUUCAUCAAUCCACCAAAGCAGGAGUAGGGUUUUAUGCA